UACGAAGGGGGCUAGCGUUGCUCGGAAUCACUGGGCGUAAAGGGCGCGUAGGCGGCGUUUUAAGUCGGGGGUGAAAGCCUGUGGCUUAACCACAGAAUGGCCUUCGAUACUGGGACGCUUGAGUAUGGUAGAGGUUGGUGGAACUGCGAGUGUAGAGGUGAAAUUCGUAGAUAUUCGCAAGAACACCGGUGGCGAAGGCGGCCAACUGGACCAUUACUGACGCUGAGGCGCGAAAGCGUGGGGAGCAAACAGG
rnacentral:rRNA from 1 species